ACUAACAAACAUGUAUUAAUGUGUAGUUAAGGUGGCUGUAAUUCAUGCAUGAAUUCAUAUGACUCAUGACAUAGUUAUGGUUAGUUAUUGAUUAGUACAUGGCUUAACUUAUCAUUACUUCAUAUUAAAGUAAUUAUUAAUUUAUGUAUUAGUACAUGAUUAUUCAUGUACUGUUAUUGUAAAGUGUUACCGAACAGUCUACUGUAGCAAACUUUGAACAAAGUCAAACAAAAAAAGAGAAAAAAUUAUAAAUGCUGAAUGUGUCUCAUCUUAAAUACAUUGUUGUUGUUUUUUUCAUUGAAUUUGGAUGUUUUGAUGAUUUAAGGAAAAUUUACGUAGCAUAUAUUGAUGUUUUAAAUCAGAGUUUGUUAAUGACACUUAAUCAUUAACAAACAUUUAAAAAGGUUUAUUACAAUACUAAUUGAUAAUAUUAAUGUACUAAUCUUGUUUUGUUACACCCUAAAUCAUUAGCUACCCCAGUUACAGGCAUGAGUGUUUGACUUCAUGCAGACAUCGAAGUACUGCGAGAGCGGUUCAAAAGCCCAGGAAACAGUGUAAUCACGCGGUACUGUGAUGUCAUACUGGUUAACGAUAAGCCACGUGAAGUUGGACACAAGGGCUGCACUAAUCUUAGCCUGUGGUUUUUGAGGCUUCGUGUCUCUUCGCGUUAAACGAUCGCAGAACGAUUUAUUUAUCUUUUUCACCUCGAUCUUUGGCCUCUUGUGAUUUACCAAAACCAACAUUUGAAGUAACAACGCUGACGAAGGAGUUUCAUCAGUAGAGUGUGUCCUGGUAAACGUGUGCUCGGAAACAUGCAGAUCUACAGAGCCGACCUUGAGGCUAGUUUUUGCAUGACAUCCACUGAUGGAUAAUCUGUUUACCUAAAAACAGCUCACCACAAUCCAUGUUUACCAGCUGUGAAAGUGCAGGCCAAAAAUCUUCCUUCACCUGUGGGCCUCUUCCCACAUGUAGAUAAGCACUUCAGGAGAAACCUGCCUGUGAUCUGCUAAGAUGCACAGAUUCAACUCUGGCCCAUUGUCAUCCCAACACCUCAUCUGCCAUCAGUUUCGUUUAGUGUCGGUCUAUUGCAAAAGUUCUUAUAAACUUUAAAUGAGACUUUGUGUUAAGCAGGGGUUUCCAAACCUUUCAUUCCAAAACAUAUUAAGCCCAGGACACACGGCAGGAUUUUUGCAAUCCAAUAAGACCUUAUCACAUUAAACUUUAGCAGUAGACUGUCGACGAAGACACCUAUUGCAUCUGAGGCUACAACAUCCGUCAUCAGCAUGCGCUAGUGGUAAACAAAUACAGGUACGCAGGUCGUUAGCACACACGUUGUUGAUGUGCGUUGAUCAUGCUGAACUUCUUACACUGUCAUAAAACUAUCUUUGGUGUCUUUGGUCCCAGGACUGGGAAAACAGACGUCUUUAAACCUCUCACACUGUACGAGAUAGGACCACCAAUUAAGAGCCACGAUCACAGAAAUCUUCACGAUUGGUAAUCUUUCAUCUGGGACAGCCAAAAAUCGUGCCGUGUAUUACAGGCUUUUGACAGGUGUAAUCUUAUAGUAUAUCAAACCAUUGCUAAUAAUUAAUUGGACAAAGCAUCACUACAAUGCAACACUCACUAUCUUACGGUGCGACCCACAAGUGGGUCUUCACCCACAGUUUAAAAACACUGAGUAUGAGUAAGAGUAUGUUGUAUUGUAAUUAAAGUCAAAUCUAAGUGUUAUGGAACAGUUUGUCAUUAUAUUCACAGUAUUACAUGGUUCUUUCAGCAGUUACUACGUUACAGUGCUCUUAAAGUGUCCUGGGUCUUGUGAAGUAAUGUAAUGAGAAUGUGAUCAAUAACUUUGCAGUAUUUUGUUACACUGUGGCUGUAAUCGUAUUAACACAUAGGUUAAACAUUUUAUUCAAAUUUGGUAAACAAACUAGUCAAUAUAAUUCAUGGUGUGAUGCUGGAUUAAACCUGGUCAAAUGAA